AUAAGGAAGAGGGGGCUCGGGCUGAGAAUAUACGGCCCUGAACUUGAUCUGGAUAAUACCAGCGAAAGGAUCAUGCUCCUCCCCCUU
rnacentral:ncRNA from 15 species